rnacentral:lncRNA from 1 species
AAAGAAUUUCUUUGGAGAGCAAGCUGCUAUUAUUUUAUUUUAUUUUUAUUUUUAUUUUUUUUUGGGAAAUAGGUAGCACGCUACCCGCUUCGUUUAUUUUAUUUAGAAAUAAACUUAGUUGAAAAUGUGAAUAAACUAGGAUUCGAACUUGGGACCUCGGGUACCAACCACCAAGCCCUUAAACUUCAAAAAUCUGCAAUUAUGCCUUCAAUACAAUACUGAUGUUAUUGACUGUCCCUAGAGCAAGUGGCAAAGGACUUGGUGGUUGGUAUCCGUGACCCAAGUUCAAAUCCUAGUUGAUUCACAUUUCUAGCUAAGUUUAUUUCUAAAUACAAUAAACGAAGCGGAUAGCAUGCUACCUCUCUCUCAAACAAAAAAAAAAAUCUGCAAUUACAUCAACCGUAGAACCUUACAUAGACUUGUCGUAUAAAACUUUUUAA